AGAGCGAACGCUGGCGGCAGGCCUAACACAUGCAAGUCGAACGGAUCCUUCGGGGUUAGUGGCGGACGGGUGAGUAACACGUGGGAACGUGCCUUUUGGUUCGGAAUAGCUCCUGGAAACGGGUGGUAAUGCCGAAUGUGCCCUUCGGGGGAAAGAUUUAUCGCCAUUAGAGCGGCCCGCGUCUGAUUAGCUAGUUGGUGAGGUAAAGGCUCGCCAAGGCGACGAUCAGUAGCUGGUCUGAGAGGAUGACCAGCCACAUUGGGACUGAGACACGGCCCAAACUCCUACGGGAGGCAGCAGUGGGGAAUCUUGCGCAAUGGGCGAAAGCCUGACGCAGCCAUGCCGCGUGAAUGAUGAAGGUCUUAGGAUUGUAAAAUUCUUUCACCGGGGACGAUAAUGACGGUACCCGGAGAAGAACGCCCGGCUAACUUCGUGCCAGCAGCCGC
rnacentral:rRNA from 1 species